CGUAGGAGGCGAGCGUUAUCCGGAUUCACUGGGCGUAAAGCGCGUGCAGGCGGUUUGGUAAGUUGGGCGUGAAAGCUCCCGGCUCAACUGGGAGAGGUCGUUCAAUACUACCAAACUAGAGAGUAGAAGAGGAAGAUGGAAUUCCCGGUGUAGUGGUGAAAUGCGUAGAUAUCGGGAGGAACACCAGUGGCGAAGGCGAUCUUCUGGUCUAUUUCUGACGCUCAGACGCGACAGCUAGGGUAGUAAACGGGAUUAGAGACCCCGGUAAUCCUAGCCGUAAACGAUGUGAACUUGGCGUCGGUGGCUUAAACACCAUCGGUGCCGAAGCAAACGCGAUAAGUUCACCGCCUGGGGACUACGGCCGCAAGGUUA
rnacentral:rRNA from 1 species